UGGGAGGGCUCAGUCAGUACCACAGCAGGGCUAUUCAACUACGGUCCCGGUGGGCAAAGACACUUCUGGUUUUACUUUCUACCUGAUGAACUGAUCUGAUGUCCCAGUAUAAAUCAGUCUCUGCUUAGAGUUGAAGAAUGACUCCAGAAGUGUCACUGGCCUUAAAGGGCAGAUUUGAAUUGCCCUGUCGUGCUCUGUGUCUAUAGCCAACUUUACCUUUCCCCUCCCGCUCCUUCUCAGCACUGGGCCGUAGCCUCUCUCUGUCCUGGCUAACUCACUCUGUCCUGGAACUGCUGCUACUCUAGGGCUUGCCAUGUCUCACUGAUUGUGGGACUGAUUGCCUCUUCGACAUAGUAGUCAGUAUGGUUUACGGUGUGUUGCUGUGUGGGUGGCUGUAGGAAGCAGCGCUGGAAGGAGCCACUUUCAGUUCAGGAGGCAUUACAUGCUUUUAUUUCAAAUAAUUGAAUACAAAAACAAAGUUAACAUUUGUACAUCCUUGUUGUCAAUGCUCACUAUCAAUUACAUUUUCAUUGGGUAGGCACUGAAUUGCGCUGAUGCUCGCGGCAAAUUAGGAUAGGAAGUCCAAUAAUAAUAUCCUUAAAGAGCAACUGCAGUGAAAACUAACAUUAGAUGGCCAGGUGACAUUGGACACUACCACUUUGGCUGGCUGUCUUGUAACUAGUGACCAGUGGUGGUGAGUAGUUUUAUACGCCAGUUGCUUAAUAAAUCCUGAUGCUGGCCUGGCAGGCUAGCUUACUAGCUAGCAACCAUUCUUCCCCAAUUCCUAGCCAGUCCCUGGGUUUCUUUGGCAUCAGUAGCGACAUGUUCAGUCUAAGGGGUCUGUGCACCCAAAGGCUAAAACUGUAUGACUGUAUAUAACUUGAGUUGUUGGGUGGAUCUUUGACCUCAAAAUUUCAGUAGCUUGAUUCGCUGCCCUUACUAAUAGGACUGCUAUCCGUGAUUUGUUAUGAUAGGGGGUGGAAACAGCUGGCUGUGGGCAGGAUUUCCACAUUUUGUCAGGUGGCUGUGUCCUUGCCACACCAAGAUACGCCCAGAUUAAACCACACCUCCAAGACAAUCCUGGGAUUUUCAAACCUCAUAUCCUUGGAUUUUCAAACCUCAUAUCCUGGGAUUUUCAAACCUCAUAUCCUGGGAUUUUCAAACCUCAUAUCCUGGGAUUUUAGAGGGCAUCAAAUCCUUGGCAUUAGCAAUGAAUGCUAAUAGAGGUUUUUGCAGGCGACGUACUCCCCUGCAGUAUCUCUCUCCAUCUGUGUCCUGCUGCAACAGUCUCUAGUACUUAUCAUCACUGAUGUUUACAGUUACACGUUAGUAAUGGGCCUACACUAAACUCUACUUAGAAAUGCUGCUGUCUGGACUACACUGACAGCACUUCUAAACCUUUUCAUUCAAUCCUAUUAAAUAUAAAAAUACUGUUACAUUUCAUGUGGUACACCUAUGGUUUGUGCUGCCAGGGAUGUGAUUGUUUGGUGAGUGGAAGAACAGCUCCGCCCUUUCUUGUCUCAUGUACCGUGAUGAUGACAAUAUAAUGCUCUGCAAAAUUGGCCCGGACUAGGAAUACUUCACAUAUAGAGCUCUUAUCAGUUAGCUGAUAAACUCCAACAGCUUGCCUGAAAAAAUAUGUAAACUUGUAAAUUAGAACCUAAAAAAGAAUGGGUACUUUACUUUUCCCGUACGUACCUGGGACGUACCAGACCAGAAGCUCCCCUCCUCCCUGAGAUCGUUCGUUCUCUCAAGGAUGUCCCUCUCUCAGAAAUGGCUCCUUAUAGAAAGCCCAGACUCGGGGCUGGAUCCAGUUUUGAAACCAAGACUGCUGUAGAGGGGAGGUAGAAACCCUCAUCACAUCAGGACCCUGUGAAGACAGACAGUAUUAUUGUACAGAGUGGCUUUGAUCAGUAUUACCAUACCAGCUGUUAUAUGGUAUGUACUUCUAAUGGGUUUAUUAGCCAGGAAGCUGUGUGUGACCCAGACAGCAAGCCCAUUGUGGUUUACUUUUACAUUUAAUUAAAUUUUGAGACAACACUUGGCUACCAAAUCAACAAAUUUUUAUUCAUGAAUAAAAAAAAAAAGAUUCUGUACAGAUUUGUAUCUGUAUCAUUUGCAAUGUUUUCAUUGGUGUAUUUGUGAAUCACUGUCCUAUCUUUUAAGAGAGUGGACUGAUGAUAGGAUUGGAAGUGUUUUUGUUACAGAUUCUUAUUUUCUUUUGUGCCUUUUAGACACUUAAAAGGUGAGUAUUCACUUAUUCCAGGUGUUGUUAAGAAGAUUCUUUGAUUUGUUGACAAAACAAAUUAUUAGACUAAGACAGUUCUCUGAGGGUUGACUGAAGCCUAGCAGUCGGCUUAUAGAUGAAAAAGACGCUGCAGGUUGUUGUUCUGAGUCUGAUUUAUGAACAUAUGUGAAAGGCAAUUCAGUAAAUGUUUUCAUUUUUUUGUUGUCAAUCAUAGCUGGUUUUAUUGUUUGUUUGGUUACUUGGCUGUAAUACUUGAAUUGUUCAAGUGUACCAUUAGUUAGUGCAUAUGUGGUUUAUUACAGUUUCAUUUGGAAUAUCUGUUACUUUAAGAAGUGCUUGGAUUAUAUUUUCCUAUUUUAUGUUAAUAGCAAUCACAUUAAAUGGGAAAACUCAA